ACUCUCAACAAUGGAUAUCUUAGCUUUUGCAAUGAUGAAGAAUGUAGCAAAAUGUGAUACUUGGUGUUAAUUGCAGAAUCUUGUAAACCAUCAAGUCUUUGAACACAAGUUGCACCCAAGCCAUUAGGCUGAGGGCAUGUUUGCUUGGGUGUCAUGCAUCGUCUCCCUUUUCCAGCCCCUCGCCUAUCAGGCUUUGGUGAGAGGGGUUAAAGACAGCCUAUCGUGAUCUCGUUGGUCAUAGUUGGCCCAAAAGUAAGUCCUUGACAACGAUAGCACUGUGACCUUUGAUGGUAAAGCUCUUGAGGUGCCUCAUCUCUAGUGACAUGUGGUUAUUGUCCAUCUAACCCCAUCGGACCCCAUCGAACCCUCUACUUCACUCAAUCAAUGCUGGUAUCAUGACCCUAGGUCAAGCAGGACUACACAGUAAGUUUAAGCAUAUCAAUAAGCUCAGGAAAAGAAACCUACCAAGAUUUUCCUAAAAAAUGAUGAGCAAAUCAAGAAGAGACUAGCUUGAGAAUUAGGUACUCACGACAUUCGAAUUGUAGUCUAGAAAAGCAUCCUCACCAGUGGACUAGGCUUAACUCCCUUAGAAAGGAAUGUCAAAGAGGGUGAGAGCCCGGUUGUGCCUAAACCUUUUUGCACCACAUGGCACUGUCGAUGAGUUUGGUUAUUUAGGAAUGCAACCCCAAUUAGGCAAUAAAUUCUAUCCAAGGCUAAAUAUUAGUGAGAGACCGAUAGCAAACAAGUACCAUAGGGAAAGAUGAAAAGGACUUUGAAAAAAUAGUCAAAGAGUGCUUGAAAUUUUUAGAAGGGAAAUGGAUGGGAGCCAAUGAUGCACCCUAAUCGGAUGUGGAAAGGUAAGAGCUAGUCCACUGAUCGGCUCUAGGUGUGGACUAAUAUAGGUCACGAUGGUGGCCUAAGCUCAGAGUUUCGAUAUGCCCAUAAAGACAUUGUCACUACGGUCAUGGAAUGCAACAUGCAUUAUCUUAACAUACCUCAUCACCUAUGUGCUCUUGACAUUAGCCUACGAGCUCCCCAUUCAACCCAUCUUGAAACACAAGCUAAGGAGUCCGAUAUGUGUGUGAGUCAAUGCGCUAGAAAACCCAUAAGGCAAAGGAAGCUGAUUGGCAAGAUCCCUCACAAGUGCACUACCAAUGGACUUUGAUCUUCAGAGAAAGGUUUGAGUGUGACAUGCCUGUCAGGAUCCAAAAAAUGGUGAACUAUGCUUAAGCAGGGCAAAGCCAAAGGAAACUCUAAUGGAGGCCCAUAAUGAUACUAACGUGUAAAUUGUUCACCUAACUUGAGUAUAGGGACAAAAGACUAAUCAAACUGUCUAGCAGUUGUUUCCCUCUAAAGUUUCCCUUAGGAUAGCUAGAGCCCUUGGUGAAUUCUAUUAGGAAAAGCCAAUGAUUAGGGUCAUCGGGGACAUAAUGCCCUUGACAUAUUCUCAAACUUUAAAUAGAUAGAAUAGCACAGCUGCUUUGUUGAGCCAUGCCACAAAAUCGAGAGCUCAAAGGGAGCCAAUUUUGGUAAUCAAAAUUGACGAUGCAGGAUGAAUCAAAAGCCAUGUUAUGGUGCCCAAUUGCAUGCUAACCUAAAACCCACAAAAGGUGUUGGUUGAUUAAGACAGUAGAACUAUCACAAAACCCAAGGUAUGAGCAUAGAUGGAGUGGCCAUCAGUGUAGAUCUUGGUGGUAGUAGUAAAUAUUCAAAUGAGAACUUUAAAGGCUAAAAAGGGGAAAGGUUCCAAGUGAACGACACUUGCACAUGGGUUAGUCAAACCUAAAAUAUGGGGGAAGCCCAUUUGAUAGCGUGUCCAGUGUGAGCUUCAAAAAGGAAUUAGGUUAAAAUUCUUGAAUUGGGACACAAUGGCUUACAACAAUGUUAAAAAGUCUAAAGAUGUUGGCAGAGGCCUCGGUAAGAGUUAUCUUUUUUAUUUAACAACCUACCUACCCUGAAAAUAGCUCAACCAAAGGUAAGGUCUAGUAGCUGGAAGAGCAUCACACAUCAUGCAGUGUCUAGUACACCAUUGGUGGCCCAUGAAAAUUUGGAGGAGUAAGUGCCAUUCAUGCCCUAUCAUACUCAUAACGGCAUCUGGUCUCCAAGGUUAAUAACCUUUGGUAGUUAGAACAAUGUAGGCAAAGGAAGUUAGCAAAAUAGAUCUAUAACCUUGGGAAAAGGAUUGGGUUUGAGGGCUAGGCAUAGGCGUCUCAGUCCCGAACCCACUGACUACUAGUGCACUACUUGAGCUACUCAUCAAGUGACAAAUAGUCAACUCAGAACUAGUAUAGACAAGGGGAAUCUAACUAUUUAAUUAAAAUAAAGUAUUGUGAUGGUCCCUGCAGAUGCUCACACAAUGUAAUUUCUACCCAAUGCUCUGAAUGUUAAAGCAAAGAAAUUCAAACAAAUACGGCUAAAUGGUGGGGGUAACUAUGGCUCUCUUAAGGUAGCCAAAUGCCUUAUCAUCUAAUUAAUGACGUACAUGAAUGGAUUAACAAGAUUCCCACUGUCCUUGUCUACUAUCCAGUGAAACCACAACCAAGGGAAUGGGCUUGGCAAAAUCUAUUGGAAGAAAAGACCAUGUUGAGCUUGACUUUAAUAUGACUUUUUGAAUGACAUAAGAGGUGUAGUAUAAGUGGGAUCCCUUAGGAAAAAUUGAAAUACAACUACUUUUAAUGUUAUUUUACAUAUUUCAUGAAUUGAAGGCUAGGCACAACCUUUUCUUUUGAACCAAAGGUCAGCCUUAAUUGAUCAAUUCAGGCAAAAGACAUUGUCAGGUGAGGAGUUUGGCUAGGGUGGCACAUUUGUUAAAAGAUAAUGCAAGUGCCCUAAGAUGAGCUCAACUAGAACAAAAAGUGUGGUCUUUGCAAAUGACUUAAAUAUGUGAUAGAGUGUUGUAAGUAGCCAAGUGACCUUGUAACCACAAUCCAUUGAGAUUCAGCCCUUUGUCGCUUUGAUUCAUCCCUCCCCCCACGACACUCACUGAAGUCCUCUCACUUGAUUUUUUUACACCACACCCUUCUAAGGUUAAGGAUGAAUAGUGUUCUCUAUUGCAACUGAUUUAGUCAGGUGAUGACAUCCCUCCCUUGAGCAUCUAAGUACAUGACA
rnacentral:rRNA from 1 species